rnacentral:rRNA from 1 species
CGGACGGGUGAGUAACGCGUGAGAAUCUGGCUUCAGGUCUGGGACAACCACUGGAAACGGUGGCUAAUACCGGAUGUGCCGAGAGGUGAAAGGUUAACUGCCUGAAGAUGAGCUCGCGUCUGAUUAGCUAGUAGGUGUGGUAAAGGCGCACCUAGGCGACGAUCAGUAGCUGGUCUGAGAGGACGAUCAGCCACACUGGGACUGAGACACGGCCCAGACUCCUACGGGAGGCAGCAGUGGGGAAUUUUCCGCAAUGGGCGAAAGCCUGACGGAGCAAUACCGCGUGAGGGAGGAAGGCUCUUGGGUCGUAAACCUCUUUUCUCAGGGAAGAACACAAUGACGGUACCUGAGGAAUAAGCAUCGGCUAACUCCGUGCCAGCAGCCGCGGUAAUACGGAGGAUGCAAGCGUUAUCCGGAAUGAUUGGGCGUAAAGCGUCCGCAGGUGGCGAUGUAAGUCUGCUGUUAAAGAGUGAGGCUCAACCUCAUAAGAGCAGUGGAAACUACAUAGCUAGAGUACGUUCGGGGCAGAGGGAAUUCCUGGUGUAGCGGUGAAAUGCGUAGAGAUCAGGAAGAACACCAGUGGCGAAGGCGCUCUGCUAGGCCGUAACUGACACUGAGGGACGAAAGCUAGGGGAGCGAAUGGGAUUAGAUACCCCAGUAGUCA